rnacentral:lncRNA from 1 species
GCUGAUUGACUGGCGAUGGAGAUGCAGCAGUGACCUGCAAUUCUUUCUGCUGUGGAUGGUUCAUUUUGAAAUCUUUUUUAUAUCUGACAAGACACAAGAAAACAACAUAUCUAUCCUGUUAUAUUUACCACUAUCAUCUACAGUGAGUGCUAAGUUGCCCAUAAAUUUUAGUUGAUUUCUGUUCAGAGUGAUCUGAAAAAUAGAUAGCAUAAAAGAUUAGUGGGUAUUACAUUUAGAUUAGUUACAUUUGGGCAAAUAAAUGAGUAGAAGUCAAUUUUGUUUGCUUGAUGUUUCACUUCUUUGAUCUCUUCAUCAUUCUCAUUUUGUUUCAUUGCUUACCAUUUGUUCGAAAAAAUUUCUAGCAGUGGCAAGCAUGGUUAGGGCGAGCAACAAGGGUUCCUGUAGUGCAUAACCAUUUCAAGUCGCCCAAGUUCUAAAGAGAGAUCAGAAGUGCCAGCUACUGAAGCAAAAAAAAGGACCUGAUACACAUUGUAAUCAUGGACUGCUGAUAUACCUGAUGCAUUUCUUCAUGAUGGUCGAUUUCCUUUCACCGGAUCUUACAUGUUUAAUUAUGUGUGCUCGGAACCAAAAACUGAUUGAGAUCUUCAGUUCUUACUUGCAGAUGUUCUGUUAUUCAGAGUAAUUCAGUUUCCAGUCUCUGUUUAUUAAUCAAAUUAUGGGUUAUUUUCAACCAUAUAGGCUUUUAUUAUAUGUUCAGUUAUGCUUCCAUGGGUUUUGCAUAUGUAUUAACAAAACAACCAGACUGCUAUUCUGUAUAUACUUGGAUCAAAGGGUGUACAAUUAAUUUGCUCUUACGAAAGGAAUGAGUAGGCAGCUAGCAGAAUGGGAGGACAAUCAUGACAAGCGAAGGAACAAAUAAAUAGUAAUCCCACAAUUUUUACAACUGCAUUCCACUUUAAUUUGGUAUGGACAUGCAUUUUUAUCCUUGGAGUACUUUGGAUUUUAAGUGGGAAUCAUUGGUUCUUUUCUUCUUAAUAUUUUACUUCUUAUAAUUACAAAUACCAAUUUUAGAGAAUUGAGCUCGUACUUAAAAUUCAAUUGAGUAUGAAGCCACUGCCCAUUGUGUGAAAGAAACAAUUAUAACAUUGUACUCUAACAAAUCACACAUAUAGAGAAAUGUUAUUUUCGAGUCUCCUUAACCUACUGAUCUUUUUUUAGAUAUAUGAAACUUGCAUUUGUUUUCUUAAUUCUUCUGCAAUGCAGGUGAUAUUCCUAAUGGUUGCUGCUGACGCUAAAAAAAUUACUCCUGAAGCACUAGAAGUGCCCUCUCUAUGACGCAUCACUCACUGGAUCCAGAUGGGCAACAUUCCGCUUCAAGAUUAAAGAGUACCGUUUUUGCAUGCUAUCAUUGCUUAUCCAAGAGUAAUCUAGCAUGUGCCUAAUAUAUAUACAUGAUUGUUGCACCAUCACAAGAUUUCCAUUAUAUACAUGGGCAUAACUUUCUUUACUGUGAAUUAAUCGACACGAUGCUUCUGUUUUAAGGAAUGGCAAUGCUAAAUUCUACAGUGGUACUCUCUACUCUGUCGAAUGUUUACAAACACCAUAAAGCUAGAGAUCUAUUGUGGAAACUUUUCUUUCUUUUGUUUGUUAUAACUUCUUAGUGUAAAAAUAAAUAUGGCUUGUCCAUUACGAAACAAAUAUGUAAGAUUUAUUACUUUUCAAAGUUGAAUUGUUCCUGGCAAAUUACACAUGAGAGUGCAUACAAUUGAGUUGUGCUGACUUGCUGUUUCUAAAAUGAUAAGCUGGAGCUGGAGUUACAUAUGAGAGUAGAGAUAAUUAAGUUGUGCUCCUGACUUGAUUAACAAAAGCUGCAGAAGAAAGGGACAAAAUACCAAAGAGCUGAAAUUUUGAAGAAAGGUGGAAGUAGGGAACUACACAACUUGAUUCAAGGUUACGAAGGGAAAAAGGGCAUUGAUUGAGCAGGAGAAAACAAUAAUGGGCCGAGGCAAAGAUAUAGUGCUCAGUUAGUAAAGAGAUAUGUGGGAAGUUGAGCAGCGGGAUGCAAAUGGAAUUUUUGUGACUCACUGAAGGUGAGCAAAACUUCAGAAAAGAAAUUGCAACAGAAGUAGAGCCUCAUCACCAAGAGAACAUAGGGAUUUUAAGUUUUUUGUAGCCUGCACCGGAGACUGUAGAGUUAAGUUUCUACAUCUCAGUGUACAGUUUAACUAUAUCAGGUUAUUUCCUAUGUAGUAAAUAUUUGCUUUUGCCAUUGCUGAUCAUGUCCUUCUCUCUGUGCUUGGAAGCAUAAACUUACUUAGCGAUCCUUUUCUGUUAGGCUAAACUUACAUCCUUCUGCUAAUAGUUUAGUGAUCUAAUGAUUAUAAUGAUUAUUCAAAAGGGACGUUGCAUGUUCCUAGAUGCAUAGCCUUUCUUAUAUAUGUUUUCAUAACACUGGAUUUUUUUAGGGAUAACACUGGGAUUUAAGUUUUUUUGUUAAAUUCUGAAACUGAAAUCCGAAUAAAAAAUAUCUUGAAAGACCAGCAUAAUGGCACUUCAAAUAAAUGCUAAUCUACACUCACACUGCAGGCUGGUGCCCGUUCUUCUGGUGAUUUGGUCAAAGCUACUACUAAGCAAAGAUAUUUUGCAUGCUAUAAGAACAUGUAGGUUCAUAUCGGGGAGCCAUACGAUCCUGCUAAGAAUUUUGAAUCACUUUGAUAUAUUAACAACAACAUCGUUUAAAAUCCAAACAAAUGGCAUACUCCCUGUUAAUUCAAAUGCAGAUACAAACUUUAAGCUUUUCUAAAUAAGGAAAUAUAUUUACAGUCCAAGUGUAGUAAUCUGGGAGUUUGAAAUUAUUUCCCCUUUUUACAAAGCAAGGGACAUUGAAGUUAAUAUUCACAUACAUGGCAGGGAAGGAUUGAUCUCUCUGCUUAGCAAUGAAUUUGUAGCACCCCAUGAAAACAAAUAUUGUGCAGACCCUAUGGCGUCAUUGUGUUAGUAGGCCGUAUUGGCGUUGCAAUCUCCUCUUGGACUAACUAAUGCAUAGGUUAUAAAGCACAUCAAACCUUUUGUAGACCAACAAAUCCAACAUGCUAUGUAGAUCUUGUGUGUACGGAUUAAUCUGAUUGAUGACUGAUGGAAAGCUUCAGGACUUGUAUUCCCCCCUCACCCCAUAUCUGUAGUUUCCUAUGAUUCACUUUCAAAUCUGGAUAUUCUCUUAUAUAUUAACUACUGCAUUGGAGGAAAUUAAAUCACUUGCAAUCUACAAUUAAAGAAUAAUUAAGUGGGACCUUGAGAAACAAUAGUUUGCCAUGGUCUGCAAUGGGGCAGAGCCAAAGAGUUUGACCAGAAUAAAAGUCUGGACAACAAAAUUCAAUGGAGAGAGAUAUCCAUCUGUUACCCACAAAUGAUUAUUUUUUUGUUAGUGCCUCUUCUUCUUUCUUGCCCAUUAUUUAGUUAUAACGUGACAAAAUAAACAUGUUGAUUAUACCCGACUUGCACUGAACAUGAAAUUUUUGUUUAUGCACAAACAUGCGAGUUGUGUAGUACUGUAGGUUGACACUUCAUCGAAACAUAACACACAAUUACAUGUGCGUGUAUAAGGAGAAACUAUACCUGCAGCACACAUCCAUCUAUCUCGGUUUAUGGGAGAACUGGCAAAUUUAUGGUAAUGAAGCAUGUAGCUGAGGUGUGAGACAAAUCUUCCGUAGAGUGUUAAUGUUGUUAGUAGUAAUUAACUUGUCUCCUAGGAGCUAACUGCAGCAACUUACCUUGAUUGUUAGAUACAGUAUAGCAUUAUUCAUCUUCAUCCAUGAUUGAUUCUUCUGUUUGCUGCAAUUCUUUGACAAUUCUUAGCAUCACACAACCAAAGGUGAGAAGCAAAAAUUUGAAGCACGGAACAAAAAAUUCACAAACCAAUGCAUUUAGUAACCAUCGUGGUUCUUACAGGUCCUUUGCAAUCCAAAUUCCAGUUCUAUGACUUGCAAGGAAGGAUGAAGUCCAUGUCAUGAAAAUUUUAAUAUGUGGUCGCUGCCUCCUCCAGCCAUGGAUUUCAAAGGUACGCAGAUUCACCUACAACAUGCAUAUGGGAGAACUUGCAGAUCUGAAGGAAUCAAGUAUCUAGCUAAGGUGCUUGUAGCCACGAUCAGUGCUCCAUCGAGCAAUUUCUUAGGGCUGCACAGAUGCAACAACCUGGUAGAUAGGAUCAUCCUCUAUCAAAAAUAGCCAAAGGAAGAUGUCAGCAUCAGAGAUCCCAUAUAGGCCAGGAUAAUGUCAAAAUAUCUUGGCAUGGGCACGUGGCUCAUAGCCUGAACUUGAGACCGUUUACUCCAUGCUCGUGGUGGAGGCCUAGUCUCGACGGGGGCAUGGCAGUGGCGUGCGUUAGGAUUGGAUUCCGUCGAAGACCUAGGAUUGAUUUUCUAGCUGAGGCUGCGUGCGUGAGGGCUGGAGAGUCGGUUGUAGCCAUGGGAUUCUGGCGGCAGCAGCGUGCGUGAGGGCAGGGGAGUCUGCAGCCCUAUUAUGUUUUUCUUCUUUCAACGAUGGACUCAGGUAAUGGGAAAACUAAUCUAUGGCAUGGCCCUGUAUAUUUUGUCUUCUUUUCACGAUGGAGUCAAGGUUUCUAAAAAAAUUAUGGCAUUGCUGAAUCGUAGAGGCAGGUGAAAGCUAUUUUGACGCAGCAUAUGCUUUAGUAGGAGUUAUCUCUACCUCUCUAUCUCUACCUAAUCUCUACCUAAUAAUAAAGCAAAUUGGGUUUCUGCUUGUCCGUCAUUAGCAUUUUUGCUAAAAAGCCCCUCCCUUUUUUAGUAUUUAACCCGCAGUACAAUUUAAAGUCUGUUUCUUCUUGAGAUAAUGAUUCAUUUUUUGCAAAAAGGACCCGGGCACCACCACCACAACCCCGCCUUAUCCACUGCCGGUCUUCACAAACGGGCAGCGGCGCGCUUGCCAUGGCGUCCGCUCCGCCCGAGCCCAGUAAUGGGGCGAGGCGUCGCGGCGGCGUUCCUGCACGCCUUGUCGGCCUUGGAGCUAGCCUUGGCGGGGGCGGGCCGAGGCGUCGCGGCGGAGGACGAUAAGCAGACGGGCACGCGCCACCGGCGCGCUUGCCGUGGGCGUCCGCUUUGCCCGAGCCCAGUAGUGGGGCGAGGGGUCGCGCCGGCGUUCCUACACGCCUUGUCGACCUUGAAGCUGGCCUUGGCGGGCCGAGGCGUCGCGGCGGAGGACGACAAGGCGGCCGGCGUGCUCUGUUGGGGCGACGCGUCGCGGCGCUCUGGCUCCAGUAGAUGACGGCAGAGAGCCAGGUGUGGCUUUGUGUCGCCGGCCACCGUGCCAGGCUGGAAUAGCUGCUGCAGCCCCCCUUAUUUGAUACUUGCAUUUGUGGCAAGCACCUUGCUGUUCUGAGUAAUGGUUGAUAUCUUAUAUUUAGCCGAGAAGCUGAAAACUUACGAGUUGGAAAACCUUCUAGAUAUACCUAAAAAGACCUUGAAGAUAUCUUCUACUAGACUGGACGAGCUGAUUGACUGGCGAUGGAGAUGCAGCAGUGACCUGCAAUUCUUUCUGCUGUGGAUGGUUCAUUUUGAUAUCUUUUUUAUAUCUGACAAGACACAAGAAAACAACAUAUCUAUCCUGUUAUAUUUACCACUAUCAUCUACAGUGAGUGCUAAGUUGCCCAUAAAUUUUAGUUGACUUCUGUUCAGAGUGAUCUGAAAAAUAGAUAGCAAAAAAGAUUAGUGGGUAUUACAUUUAGAUUAGCUACAUUUGGGCAAAUAAAUGAGUAGAAGUCAAUUUUGUUUGCUUGAUGUUUCACUUCUUUGAUCUCUUCAUCAUUCUCAUUUUGUUUCAUUGCUUACCAUUUGUUCGAAAUUUUUUCUAGCAGUGGCAAGCAUGGUUAGGGCGAGCAACGAGGGUUCCUAUAGUGCAUAACCAUUUCGAGUCGCCCAAGUUCUAAAGAGAGAUCAGAAGUGCCAGCUACUGAAGCAAAAAAAAGGACCUGAUACACAUUGUAAUCAAUGACUGCUGAUAUACCUGAUGCAUUUCUUCAUGAUGGUCGAUUUCCUUUCACCGGAUCUUACAUGUUUAAUUAUGUGUGCUCGGAACCAAAAACUGAUUGAGAUCUUCAGUUCUUACUUGCAGAUGUUCUUUUAUUCAGAGUAAUUCAGUUUCCAGUCUCUAUGUAUUAAUCAAAUUAUGGGUUAUUUUCAACCAUAUAGACUUUUAUUAUAUGUUCAGUUAUGCUUCCAUGGGUUUUGCAUAUGUAUUAACAAAACAACCAGACUGCUAUUACGUAUAUAGUUGGAUCAAAGGGUGUACAAUUAAUUUGCUCUGACGAAAGGAAUGAGUAGGCAGCUAGCAGAAUGGGAGGACAAUCAUGACAAGCGAACGAACAGAUAAAUAGUAAUCCCACAAUUUUUACAACUGCAUUCCACUUUAAUUUGGUAUGGACAUGCAUUUUUAUCCUUGGAGUACUUUGGAUUUUAAGUGGGAAUCAUUGGUUCUUUUCUUCUUAAUAUUUUACUUCUUAUAAUUACAAAUACCAAUUUUAGAGAAUUGAGCUCGUACUUAAAAUUCAAUUGAAUAUGAAGCCACUGCCCAUUGUGUGAAAGAAACAAUUAUAACAUUGUACUCUAACAAAUCACACAUAUAGAGAAAUGUUAUUUUCGAGUCUCCUUAACCUACUGAUCUUUUUUUAGAUAUAUGAAACUUUCAUUUGUUUUCUUAAUUCUUCUGCAAUGCAGGUGAUAUUCCUUGGUUGCUGCUGACGCUAAAAAAAUUACUCCUGAAGCACUAGAAGUGCCCUCUCUAUGGCGCAUCACUCACUAGAUCCAGAUGGGCAACAUUCCGCUUCAAGAUUAAAGAGUACAGUUUUUGCAUGCUAUCAUUGCUUAUCCAAGAGUAAUCUACCAUGUGCCUAAUUGUUAUGACCGGCCAUGUCUAUGGCCGCCGCAGGCCCAACAGGCAGUCUUAGGCCCGCAAGUUACCUUAGUUUUAUUCAGAUUAGGCAAGUUAUCUCAGGAUUGAUUCUUCUACAAGUUAUCUAGGAUAUAAAUAUAGAUUGUAAGACUCUUUUGGAUGGAAGCAAUAAAGACUAUUAUUAUCUUUUGUUGCCCGGCUCCUAGAGGAGCCGGAAACCCUAGCUGCCGCAACCUAGCUGCCACCGCCCUCAACCCUAGCCGCGACGGCACCCUGCCGCUGGCGCGCCCGCUCCUCGCCGCGCCCACUUCCUCUUUGCCCCUACAACCUACGCAGUAGAGCCGGUAGGAACCCUAGUCCUACCAAUUUGGUAUUCAGAGACCACGUUGUGAUCAUGUCGAUGCCGCCAUCACCGCCGCCGCUGCCCGUCCGCACCACCGCGCCCAUGACGACGGCGCCAAGCAUCACCGCGCCGACCGCAUCCGCCGGGACCUCGCUGGCGUGUCCCGUCUCCUCCUCGGCACCUCCUGCACCGGCGUCUCCGGGCGCAUCUCCACCACCACCGCUGGCCGCCUUGUCUCCGGAGCAACUCGCCGCCAUGCUACAUCACCUCGUCACCGUCGUCCACGGGCUUCAGCUCCACCAGCAAUAUGGGGCCGGCGCCUAUGCUCAACCGCCAUCGGCCCCGAUCGCCGCCCCUGGUCUUCUCCUACAGCAGCAGCCGCAGUACGGGGGCGGGGCGAGCCCCUUCGCGCCACCACCAGGAGCGUACCAGGGCGCGGCCGCGUACGGCGGGCCCCUGUUCGGGCCGAUCCAGGCGAGAUUGGCAUCCGGGCCAGCGCCGGCCGCGGCGCCCCUCUGGCCUUUGCCGCCGGCCACCUCGGCCGCCUCCUAGCUGCAGCAGCCGCCACCCACCGUCUGGCCGGUUCAGCAGAUGCCGUUCCUCGCAUGGCCGGCCCAGCAGCCGCCGCCGACGGCGUCCCAGGGCCUGCGUCCACCGCCGUUCUCCGCGCCCUCAUCAGCCGGGACCACCUCGGGCACGGCCUCGACUAUCGGGUUACUGAUCCAUCAGGUCCAGUUUCCCCCUUCCCCGUCCCCCCCUGCCAGCAUGGGCGGCGGGGUCUUCGCCUUCACCGGUCCACACCACGACCCCGGUUGAGCCGACUCCGUUUCCGCAGUUCGGCAGGCCAUCCGGCCCCGCCGGCCAGUACCCGGACUACUCCGAUCAGGCACCUCCGGCUUCACUCUUCCGAGCCCCCGCGCCUGCUCAGCACGGCGGGCCGCAGCAGACACCGCCGCUGUUCGCCAAACUCGACUUCGCCACCUACGAGGGCACGGAGGACCCCCUCAACUGGCUCAACCAGUGCGAACAGUUCUUUCGAGGGCAGCGGACACUCGCUUCAGAUCGUACCUGGCUCGCGUCCUAUCAUCUUCGAGGCGCAGCACAGACCUGGUACUACGCCCUCGAGUAGGACGAGGGCGGCAUGCCACCGUGGGAGCGCUUCCAGGAGCUCUGUCUUCUCCGUUUUGGGCCUCCUAUCCGCGGGAGCCGACUGGCGGCCCUCUGUCGUUUACCAUUCACAUCUACGGUGCAGGACUACGCCGAUCGCUUCCAGGCCCUGGCAUGCCACGCGCCGGGCGUCUCCGCGACCCAGCGCGCCGAGCUCUUUGUGGGCGGUCUGCCGGACCAUAUCCGCGUGGACGUCGAGCUCCGGGAUCCCCCCGAUCUCCAGACGGCCAUGUACUACGCCCGGGCCUUCAAGCAGCGGGUCCAGGCACUGCAGCCGCCACUCGGACGGAGUGGCCGCCAGCCCAGUCGGCCAGCACCAACUUCCUCAGCCCCGGGUCGGCCUCUCCCAUCCGCGACGGCCACAUCCCCGGCUGCCACACGGCCCUUCCGUCGGCUGUCACCGGCCGAGCAGCAGGAGCGUCGCCGUCAGGGUCUCUGCUUCAACUGCGAUGAGCCCUACACACCGACCCAUGUCUGCCCCCGCCUCUUUUAUUUAGAGACGGUCGACUACACCGAGGAGAACGACUCGCCCGAUCCGUUACAUCCGCCUGCGGCGCCCGAGGACGCGGCCGCGGAUUCCGCAGCGACGGCGUGCGUCGUCUCCCUUCACGCCCUGGCCGGCAUCCGGGGCGAGCAGACCAUGCUGCUGCCGGUGACGAUCCAUGGCGAGCGCCUGGUGGCCCUGCUAGAUACGGGCUCCACACACAACUUUCUGCCCGAAUCGACCAUGCGUCGGCUAGCCCUCCCGACGACGGGCGAGGAGCGCCUGCGGAUCACAGUGGCGAACGGUGAUCGCCUCCGGUGCCAUGGGCUAGCCCGCGACGUUCCCAUCUCCAUCGGCGACGAACACUUUUCCAUCACUUGUGCAGGGAUCGAUCUCGGCUGCUUCGACUUCAUCCUCGGGGUGGACUUUCUCCGGACCCUCGGCCCCAUCCUAUGGGAUUUCGAUGCACUCAUGAUGACAUUCUCGCGGCAGGGACGCCGCAUCCGAUGGGAGGGCAUUGGGGGCGCCGCGGCUGCCGUGCCACAUCUCCAGCUGGCUGCCGCGUCCUCGGAGGCUGAGCACCCCCUGCUGGAUUCUCUUCUGGAGCAGCACAGCGACCUCUUCGACGCUCCACGGGGUCUUCCACCUGCCCGGGUGUACGACCAUCAUAUUCACCUCAUACCAGGCUCCAGUCCGGUGGUGGUACGGCCCUACCACUACCCCCAGCUGCAGAAGGAUGAGUUGGAGCGCCAGUGUGCCCUGAUGCUCGCCGCACGCAUCAUCCGGAUCUCCACGUCACCCUUCACGGCGCCGGUGCUUCUCGUCCGUAAGUCCGACGGCACAUGGCGCUUCUGCAUCGACUACCGCGCCCUCAACGCACUCACGCUCAAGGACAAGUUCCCUAUACCGGUGGUCGACGAGCUCUUGGAUGAGCUCCAUGGGGCACGCUUCUUCACCAAGCUCGAUCUUCGGUCGGGCUAUCAUCAGGUGCGCAUGCAUCCGGACGACAUCGCCAAGACGGCGUUUCGCACCCACCAUGGCCACUUCGAGUUCUUGGUGAUGCCUUUCGGCCUCGCCAACGCCCCGACGACUUUCCAAGCCCUGAUGAACGACGUCCUUCGACCCUACUUACGGCGGUUUGUGCUUGUUUUCUUUGAUGACAUUCUUAUCUACAGCGCCACCUGGGCCGAACAUCUCCAGCACGUCGCCAUCGUCUUCAACGAGCUUCGGGCGCACCACCUCCACCUUAAGCGCUCAAAGUGCUCGUUCGAGACACCUACCGUCGCCUACCUCGGCCAUGUCAUCUCGGCCGACGGAGUGGCUAUGGACGCCGAUAAGGUGGCGGCCGUCUCCGCCUGGCCGACGCCUCACUCACCGCGGGCUCUCCGCGGGUUCCUCGGACUCGCUGGCUACUACCGGAAAUUUAUCCGGGAGUUCGGACUCAUCGCGGCGCCCCUCACGCGGUUGCUUCGCCGCGACGCCUUCGCCUGGGACGCUGAGGCGUCGACGGCAUUCGAGGCCCUCAAGGGGGCCCUCACGACGGGCCCCGUCCUCCAGAUGCCCGACUUCGACCGUCCGUUCGUGGUGGACUGUGACGCCUCGGGCACCGGGUUCGGCGCCGUACUUCAUCAGGGCGAUGGGCCCCUCGCCUUCUUCAGCCGGCCUUUCGCUCCGCGCCAUCUUAAGUUGGCCGCUUACGAGCGGGAGAUCAUUGGCCUCGUCCAGGCCGUGCGUCAUUGGCGGCCAUACUUGUGGGGGCGGACCUUCCACAUUCGCACGGACCACUACAGCCUGAAUUUCUUCCUGGAUCAACGGCUGUCGACCGUACCGCAGCACCAGUGGAUCAGCAAGCUCUUCGGCUUCGACUUCUCCGUCGAGUAUCGGCCGGGCCGUCUUAACACCGUGGCCGAGGCGCUAUCCCGUCGCGAUUCCGACCUCGCGCCAACCGCCGACGCGUCCGUCGGGACGGCCCUGUGCAUCCGCUUCGGGCCAUCGUUCGGUCUCUUCACCGACAUUCGACGCGCCACUGCGACGGCCGAUGACGCCGCACUUCUUCAGCAGCAGCUCACGGUCGGCGACUUGGAGGAGCCCUGGCGCUUCUCUGACGGACUGCUCCUGCAUGUACGCCGGAUCUUUGUUCCGGCGCAUGAUGAUCUCCGUCACCAGGUGUUGCAGCUCGCUCACUCGGCGGGCCAUGAGGGUGUGCAGAAAACCCUCCAUCGUCUUCGCGCCGACUUCUACAUCCUUGGCGAUCGUGCCCUGGUCCGCGACUGGGUUCGGUCUUGUCAGACUUGCCAGCGCAACAAGACAGAGACCCUGAGACCGGCGGGGCUCCUUCAGCCCUUGGAGGUGUCGUCUCAGGUUUGGGCGGAUAUCUCCUUGGACUUCAUCGAGGGCCUUCCCAAGGUAGGGGGCAAGUCAGUCAUCCUCACGGUGGUCGAUCGCUUCUCUAAGUACGCCCACUUCAUCGCGUUGGGCCAUCCGUACACAGCGGCAUCCGUGGCCCGGGCUUUCUUUGACGGCAUAGUCUGUCUACACGGGUUCCCGACGUCGAUCGUCAGUGAUCGGGACCCAAUCUUCACGGGCCAUGUCUGGCGCGACCUCUUCAGGAUGGCGGGUGUCCAGCUCCGCCUGAGUAUGGCGUUCCAUCCUCAGACGAACGGUCAGUCUGAGGUGGUUAACAAGGUCAUUGCCAUGUAUUUGCGUUGUGUGACAGGUGAUCGACCUCGCUCUUGGGUGGACUGGCUAUCUUGGGCGGAGUACUGCUACAACACUUCUUAUCACUCCGCCCUGCGCGCGACGCCAUUUGAGGUGGUCUAUGGUCGACCACCCCCGCCUAUACUUCCGGUCGACCCGAAGACGGCUCGGACAGCAGUAGCGGGUGACCUUAUCCGCACCCGUGAUGAGAUGCUGGCUGAGGUCCUUCAGCGUCUCCUUCAGGCCCAGCAGACGGCCAAGCACUACUACGACGAUCAUCAUCGCGAGGCGGAGUUCGCAGUGGCUGACUGGGUGUGGCUGCGUCUUCUCCACCGCUCUACGCAGUCACUGGACACGCGCGCAAAGCGCAAGCUUGGCCCUCGCUACGCCGGGCCCUUCCCUGUCGUGGAGCGCAUUGGGAAGGUGGCCUAUCGUCUUCAGCUUCCAGCCCGCGCCCGCAUCCACGACGUGUUCCAUGUGGGGCUGCUCAAACCUUUCCGUGGCGAGCCACCGGCGGCACCUCCGACGCUUCCUCCAACCGCCGAUGGUCGCAUUCUUCCAGAGCCAGCAAAGGUGUUGCAGGCUCAGCUCCGUCGUGGCGUCUGGUUCAUCCUAAUUCAGUGGGCGGGCCUUCCGGAGGAAGAGGCGACUUGGGAGCAGCGUGAGGAUUUCCGUCAACACUAUCCAGACUUUCAGCUCGAGGACGAGCUGUUUGCGCAGGCGGGGAGAGAUGUUAUGACCGGCCAGGUCUAUGGCCGCCGCAGGCCCAACAGGCAGGCUUAGGCCCACAAGUUACCUUAGUUUUAUUCAGAUUAGGCAAGUUAUCUCAGGAUUGAUUCUUCUACAAGUUAUCUAGGAUAUAAAUAUAGAUUGUAAGACUCUUUUGGAUGGAAGCAAUAAAGACUAUUAUUAUCUUUUGUUGCCCGGCUCCUAGAGGAGCCGGAAACCCUAGCCGUCGCAACCUAGCCGCCACCGCCCUCAACCCUAGCCGCGACGGCGCCCUGCCGCCGGCGCGCCCGCUCCUCGCCGCGCCCACUUCCUCUUUGCCCCUACAACCUACGCAGUAGAGCCGGUAGGAACCCUAGUCCUACCACUAAUAUAUAUACAUGAUUGUUGCACCAUCACAAGAUUUCCAUUAUAUACAUGGGCAUAACUUUCUUUACUGUGAAUUAAUCGACACGAUGCUUCUGUUUUAAGGAAUGGCAAUGCUAAAUUCUACAGUGGUACACUCUACUCUGUCGAAUGUUUACAAACACCACAAAGCUAGAGAUCUAUUGUGGAAACCUUUCUUUCUUUUGUUUGUUAUAACUUCUUAGUGUAAAAAUAAAUAUGGCUUGUCCAUUACGAAACAAAUAUGUAAGAUUUAUUACUUUUCAAAGCUGAAUUGUUCCUGACAAUUACACAUGAGAGUGCAAAGGUGAGAAGCAAAAAUUUGAAGCACGGAACAAAAAAUUCACAAACCAAUGCAUUUAGUAACCAUCGUGGUUCUUACAGGUCCUUUGCAAUCCAAAUUCCAGUUCUAUGACUUGCAAGGAAGGAUGAAGUCCAUGUCAUGAAAAUUUUAUUAUGUGGUCGCUGCCUCCUCCAGCCAUGGAUUUCAAAGGUACGCAGAUUCACCUACAACAUGCAUAUGGGAGAACUUGCAGAUCUGAAGGAAUCAAGCAUCUAGCUAAGGUGCCUGUAGCCACGAUCAGUGCUCCAUCGAGCAAUUUCUUAGGGCUGCACAGAUGCAACAACCUGGUAGAUAGGAUCAUCCUCUAUCAAAAAUAGCCAAAGGAAGAUGUCAGCAUCAGAGAUCCCAUAUAGGCCAGGAUAAUGUCAAAAUAUCUUGGCAUGGGCACGUGGCUCAUAGCCUGAACUUGAGACCGUUUACUCCAUGCUCGUGGUGGAGGCCUAGUCUCGACGGGGGCAUGGCAGUGGCGUGCGUUAGGAUUGGAUUCCGUCGAAGACCUAUGAUUGAUUUUCUAGCUGAGGCUGCGUGCGUGAGGGCUGGAGAGUCGGUUGUAGCCACGGGAUUCUGGCGGCGGCAGCGUGCGUGAGGGCAGGGGAGUCUGUAGCCCUAUUAUGUUUUUCUUCUUUGAACGAUGGACUCAGGUAAUGGGAAAACUAAUCUAUGGCAUGACCCUGUAUAUCUUAUCUUCUUUUCAUCAUGGAGUCAAGGUUUCUAAAAAAAUUAUGGCAUUGCUGAAUCGUAGAGUCAGGUGAAAGCUAUUUUGACGCAUCAUAUGCUUUAGUAGGAGUUAUCUCUACCUCUCUAUCUCUACCUAAUCUCUACCUAAUAAUAAUAAAGCAAAUUGGGUUUCUGCUUGUCCGUCAUUAGCAUUUUUUCUAAAAAGCCCCUCCCUUUUUUAGUAUUUAACACGCAGUAUAAUUUAAAGUCUGUUUCUUCCUGAGAUAAUGAUUCGUUUUUUGCAAAAAGGACCCCGGCACCACCACCACAGCCCCGCCUUAUCCACUGCCGGCCUUCACAAACGGGCAGCGGCGCGCUUGCCGCGGCGUCCGCUCCGCCCGAGCCCAGUAAUGGGGCGAGGCGUCGCGGCGGCGUUCCUGCACGCCUUGUCGGCCUUGGAGCUAGCCUUGGCGGGGGCGGGCCGAGGCGUCGCGGCGGAGGACGUUAAGCAGACGGGCACGCGCCGCCGGCGCGCUUGCCGUGGGCGUCCGCUUCGCCCGAGCCCAGGAGUGGGGCGAGAGGUCGCGCCGGCGUUCCUACACGCCUUGUCGCCCUUGAAGCUGGCCUUGGCGGGCCGAGGCGUCGCGGCGGAGGACGACAAGGCGGCCGGCGUGCUCUGUUGGGGCGACGCGUCGCGGCGCUCCGGCUCCAGCAGAUGACGGCAGAGAGCCAGGUGUGGCUUUGUGUCGCCAACAGCCACGAGGUCAUCGGCGCCGGCCACCGUGCCAGGCUGGACCAGCUGCUGCAGCCCCCCUGCGCCGUUGCCGUCGCCGUGGCACAAGAAGCGCGAGUUCCCCCUCGCUAUCGGAGGCUGGGUGUCGUUCUCUAGUGCAGAUUGUCUAAUUGAGUUUUUGAAAGCGUCGUCCACGUCUGCACUUCAUGGGUCCAUACACUGGGAACUCACGCCUGAGAACUUCCUGCUCACCAGAUUGGUUUCAGUUUCUCUGUCUCCAUCGAAGAAGGUCAGCACUUUGCCUCGAACAGUUUCAUGAUUACACUCAUGACAAGAUUUACAGUACAGUAGUCUCAUGCGUUGAGCUCAUAAUACUGCAGUACGGACAUACAUUUUCCAAGCAUAAAUUAAUGCAGAAGUUAUUGCAACAGGAGGGCCUCUAAUUGUAAUUCAUAUACACAUUUCAGCUCAAUAACCAUAUAACGCAUCUUGCCCGAGUUUGAUACUUCCGACUAUUUCCAUGUCUUUCGGGUCAAAGUUAAGUUAGCUCUAUAUACGAGCAGGCAUUUUAUUCUUUGGGAGCAAGCAAGAAUCAAUAUAUUCUCUCGCAAUAUUAUCUCCUCCUUCCCCUUGUCUUCCUAAUCCCCUGCAGAUGGCAUGACUAGGUAGGUUCAUAACAGUUGUUGUAACUAUCCGUCCGGUCAUGAAUCAACAAUUACAAUUGUUUUGACUUCUACGAUCAGUUCAGCUGCCUAUGUUGUACUGCCGCUGCCAUUUAAAGAUUUAAGUUGUCAGGUGGAUAUAGGUUCCAUUAGAUUGAAAGUAAUGAAAUUUUAUUUGCCAACCUGGCUGCACUUUGUGAUGCUUUAUCUAUGUAUAUACUUGAAGUUCAAAUGUGAUGUAUGCUUUACUCCUUAUUUGAUACUUGCAUUUGUCGCAAGCACCUUGCUGUUCUGAGUAAUGGUUGAUAUCUUACAUUUAGCCGAGAAGCUGAAAACUUACGAGUUGGAAAACCUUCUAGAUAUACCUAAAAAGACCUUGAAGAUAUCUUCUACUAGAAUGGACGAGCUGAUUGACUGGCGAUGGAGAUGCAGCAGUGACCUGCAAUUCUUUCUGUUGUGGAUGGUUCAUUUUGAAAUCUUUUUUAUAUCUGACAAGACACAAGAAAACAACAAUCUAUCCUGUUAUAUUUACCACUAUCAUCUACAGUGAGUGCUAAGUUGCCCAUAAAUUUUAGUUGACUUCUGUUCAGAGUGAUCUGAAAAAUAGAUAGCAAAAAAGAUUAGUGGGUAUUACAUUUGGAUUAGUUACAUUUGGGCAAAUAAAUGAGUAGAAGUCAAUUUUGUUUGCUUCAUGUUUCACUUCUUUGAUCUCUUCAUCAUUCUCAUUUUGUUUCAUUGCUUACCAUUUGUUCGCAUUUUUUUCUAGCAGUGGCAAGCAUGGUUAGGGCGAGCAACGAGGGUUCCUGUAGUGCAUAACCAUUUCAAGUCGCCCAUGUUCUAAAGAGAGAUCAGAAGUGCCAGCUACUGAAGCAAAAAAAAAGGACCUGAUACACAUUGUAAUCAUGGACUGCUGAUAUACCUGAUGCAUUUCUUCAUGAUGGUCGAUUUCUGUUCACCGGAUCUUACAUGUUUAAUUAUGUGUGCUCGGAACCAAAAACUGAUUGAGAUCUUCAGUUCUUACUUGCAGAUGUUCUGUUAUUCAGAGUAAUUCAGUUUCCAGUCUCUGUGUAUUAAUCAAAUUAUGGGUUAUUUUCAACCAUAUAGGCUUUUAUUAUAUGUUCAGUUAUGCUUCCAUGGGUUUUGCAUAUGUAUUAACAAAACAACCAGACUGCUAUUCUGUAUAUACUUGGAUCAAAGGGUGUACAAUUAAUUUGCUCUUACGAAAGGAAUGAGUAGGCAGAUAGCAGAAUGGGAGGACAAUCAUGACAAGCGAAGGAACACAUAAAUAGUAAUCCCACAAUUUUUACAACUGCAUUCCACUUUAAUUUGUCAUGGACAUGCAUUUUUAUCCUUGGGGUACUUUGGAUUUUAAGUGGGAAUCAUUGGUUCUUUUCUUCUUAAUAUUUUACUUCUUAUAAUUACAAAUACCAAUUUUAGAGAAUUGAGCUCGUACUUAAAAUUCAAUUGAGUAUGAAGCCACUGCCCGUUGUGUGGAAGGAACAAUUAUAACAUUGUACUCUAACAAAUCACACAUAUAGAGAAAUGUUAUUUUCGAGUCUCCUUAACCUAAUGAUCUUUUUUUAGAUAUAUGAAACUUGCAUUUGUUUUCUUAAUUCUUCUGGAAUGCAGGUGAUAUUCCUAAUGGUUGCUGCUGACGCUAAAAAAUUUACUCCUGAAGCACUAGAAGUGCCCUCUCUAUGGCGCAUCACUCACUGGAUCCAGAUGGGCAACAUUCCGCUUAAAGAUUAAAGAGCACCAUUUUUGCAUGCUAUCAUUGCUUAUCCAAGAGUAAUCUACCAUGUGCCUAAUAUAUAUACAUGAUUGUUGCACCAUCACAAGAUUUCCAUUAUAUACAUGGCCAUAACUUUCUUUACUGUGAAUUAAUCGACACGAUGCUUCUGUUUUAAGGAAUGGCAAUGCUAAAUUCUACAGUGGUACUCUCUACUCUGUCGAAUGUUUACAAACACCACAAAGCUAGAGAUCUAUUGUGGAAAC